UACGAAGGGGGCUAGCGUUGUCCGGAAUUACUGGGCGUAAAGAGCUCGUAGGUGGUUUGUCGCGUUGUUCGUGAAAACUCACAGCUCAACUGUGGGCGUGCGGGCGAUACGGGCAGACUAGAGUACUGCAGGGGAGACUGGAAUUCCUGGUGUAGUGGUGGAAUGCGCAGAUAUCAGGAGGAACACCGGUGGCGAAGGCGGGUCUCUGGGCAUGAUCUGACGCUGAGGAGCGAAAGUGUGGGGAGCGAACAGG
rnacentral:rRNA from 1 species